CUUGCUUGAACUUGAAUCGCGUCUCUCUCGACCCUCGCCUGCUUCUCGCCAGUCACCACUCCAACUUGUAGUCGCCGACUUCUAGACUGCAGUUCCAGUCCACUGGCGGCCGGCAUCUCCUAGAUUAGGGGCUUUACACUUGAACCGUCAGCUGCCACGACGCCGCCUGCCAGCCCAACGAAAGAAUAAGAAUUGAUUCACUGGAGAAGCCCGAAGCGGCGAAGCCGGAGCCUAGAAGAACGAAGAAGGUGCAGGCCUGCAAGUGCAGCACUAGCUUUCGAUUUUGGAGCUGUCACCCGUACCUGCUUUGGAUUGGAAAUUGCGAACCACUGUGUGAAAUUAUAUCAAAUGAAUAGAUACUUUCAACGAAAAAGGAACGUAGAUAAUGUUGAUGAGGGGGUAUCAAAUAAUGUGGAAUUUUAU